ACGGUCGCCAGCACGAGCGCCAGACUCGGUCCUGCCGCUGAAGCCUGAAGAGGUCAAAGUUCACACCCUUCCUGUUGACAGUCAUGACCUGAUGACCUUUGCUCACCUUGUUCUUGAGCUCUGGCGAAGUUGCUGUGGCCGCGUAGUCGUAGUAGUCGGGCGUGGGGGUCACAAGGUCGUCCUCCCACUUGCUCUCGUCUUGACCUCCUGCUGGGGUGAAGAUCGACAACACGAUGAAGGGAGAUAGAUGACCUUUGACGUCGGUGCGCUCGCUCGCUCGCUUUUACCCAAGCGGGGCCAUGUCGCCAGCACGCACAGCAACACGCGCAGCGCAGCCAUCGCAUGCAGGCACACACACACACACACACACUGAAAAUGAUGAAAACGACACUCCUCAACCACGUCACGGCAACAAA